rnacentral:rRNA from 1 species
UACGUAGGGUGCAAGCGUUAAUCGGAAUUACUGGGCGUAAAGCGUGCGCAGGCGGUUCUAUAAGACAGAUGGGAAAUCCCCGGGCUCAACCUGGGAACUGCAUUUGUGACUGUAGAGCUGGAGUACGGCAGAGGGGGAUGGAAUUCCGCGUGUAGCAGUGAAAUGCGUAGAUAUGCAGAGGAACACCGAUGGCGAAGGCAAUCCCCUGGGCCUGUACUGACGCUCAUGCACGAAAGCGUGGGGAGCAAACAGG